rnacentral:lncRNA from 8 species
AUGAGCUUUUCUAAGAGUAAAUACGUAUAUUUUACUCAGUUCGGUGUCCUGCGAUUGACUCUAUUUCUCAUCUCCACUACACUGACACUGAUACCUCUAUACAGAGAGCUUCUUACUUCAUCCGGGAGGAGAAAGACACAGACCUGUAGACCAGGAGCCCAACAGACCCAUUGCUUCAUACCGAUCUCUCCUUUGUCAAAACAAACAGAAGACCUGCAUAUUUCGAUUUCCAAUGUUUACGGAGGAAAGGACUUACACAUCCAAGAGGAAGUCCUUCCAUCCUCUGAGGAGUCUAUUGACAACAAGACUCCCGUAACACUGAAAAACAAACUCCAUAAACCUAACAACCAACUUCCGACAAGAGCCGCAAAGCGAAGCAAAGCCCAAAACAAACUCAAAACACUCAACAGUAAACAGAAGAGAGGAGUGAAGAGGUGUCCAGUGGAUGGCUGCCAGGUCACCGUCAUUCACUUUCCUCGUCACCUGCGGCAGGUCCAUGAGUGGGGCAGAGAGGAGGCCCAGUCUGAAGUCGGCCUGAGAGCACCAAGCAGACAUGGUGGCAGCAGCAGCAAGGCUAAAAACAACCAUCACUCCAGGCCUUUCCCCAUGACAGGCUGUCAUGAAGUGGUCAAAAGACUGCCAGCCCACCAGAGAAAGCAACACAAGCUUGAAAAGAACUGUCCUCUAUACAGAGAGCUUCUUACAGCGUCACAGAAGAGAAAGAAGGUCAAAUGUCAUUGAAUGAAUUUUAUGAUGUUUACUGUGAAUAAUUAUUCUACCUGAUGUAUUGAAGUUUAAUGAGAAAUAUGUAAUUGAAUUGGGACAUGAUUGAACAAGAGAAUAUUUGGGAAAGGAAUAAAAAAAGCGCUAGAACUGACACAUAGCUCGGCUAACUUCGAUGUCUGUUUUCCUUUAUCUACAGCAGGCCGACUCAGACACCCUUUCUGAGGCCUGUAACAGAUACAGCAUAGAAAAACCAGCAUCAAUUCAUAUCCGAAGUGGUCACACCCAUUUACACACAGACCUUUUUUGUAGGAUGUAAACCUUAUGUAUGUCCAGUGGUGUAAAGUACUUAAGUAAAAAUACUUUAAAGUACUACUUAAGUAGUUUUUUGGUUAUCUGUACUUAACUUUAUUAUUUAUAUUUUUGAAAACUUUUACUCCACUACAUUUCGCUGACACCCAAAAGUACUCGUUACAUUUUGAAUGCUUAGCAGGACAGGAAAAUUGUCUAAUUCACACAGUUAUCAAGAGAACCUCCCUGGUCAUCCCUACUGCCUCUGAUCUGGCAGACUCACUAAACACAAAUGCUUAGUUUGUAAAUUAUGUCUGACUGUUGAAGUGUGCCCCUGGCUUUCCGUAUAAAAAUUUUUUUUUAAACAUUGUGCCGCCUCAGUUGAUUAAUAUAAGGAAUUUUAAAUUGUUUAUACUUUUACUUUUCAUUUUGAUUCCUAAGUAUAUUUAAAACCAAAUACUUUUAGACUUUUAUUCAAGUAGUAUUUUACUGGGUGACUUUCACUUUUACUUGAGUCAUUUUCUUUUAAGGUAUCUUUACUUUUACUCAAGUAUGACAAUUGGGUACUUUUAAACCACUGCGGACAUGUUUGUUCCUAGAAAACCAUAGAACGCGAAUGGCAAUGUCAAAAUUGAUGAGCAAGAAAUUAGCUAAACUCAGCAAAAAAAUUAAACGUCCUUUCACUGUCAACUGCAUUUAUUUUCAGCAAACUUAACAUGUGUAAAUAUUUGUAUGAACAUAACAAGAUUCAACAACUGAGACAUAAACUGAACAAGUUCUACAGACAUGUGACUAACAGAAAUUGAAUAAUGUGUCCCUGAACAAAGGGGGGGGGGGGGGGGGGGUCAAAAUCAAAAGUAACAGUCAGUUCAGUAUCUGGUGUGGCCACCAGCUGCAUUAAGUACUGCAGUGCAUCUCUUCCUCAUGGACUGCACCAGAUUUGCCAGUUCUUGCUGUGAGAUGUUACCCCACUCUUCCACCAAGGCACCUGCAAGUUCCCGGACAUUUCUGGGGGGGGAAUGGCCCUAGCCCUCACCCUCUGAUCCAACAGGUCCCAGACGUGCUCAAUGGGAUUGAGAUCUGGGCUCUUCGCUGGCCAUGGCAGAACACUGACAUUCCUGUCUUGCAGGAAAUCACGCACAGAAUGAGCAGUAUGGCUGGUGGCAUUGUCAUGCUGGAGGGUCAUGUAAUGAUGAGCCUGCAGGAAGGGUACCACAUGAGGGAGGAGAAUGUCUUCCCUGUAAUGCACAGCUUUGAGAUUGCCUGCAAUGACAACAAGCUCAGUCCGAUGAUGCUGUGACACACCGCCCCAGACCAUGACUGACUCUCCACCUCCAAAUCGAUCCCGCUCCAUAGUACAGGCCUCGGUGUAACGAUCAUUCCUUCGAUGAUAACGCAAAUCCGACCAUCACCCCUGGUGAGACAAAACCACGACUCGUCAGUGAAGAGCACUUUUUGCCAGUUCUGUCUGGUCCAGCGACGGUGGAUUUGUGCCCAUAGGCGACGUUGUUGCCGGUGAUGUCUGAUGAGGACCUGUCUUACAACAGGCCUACAAGCCCUCAGUCCAGCCUCUCUCAGUCUAUUGCGGACAGUCUGAGCACUGAUGGAGGGAUUGUGCGUUCCUGGUGUAACUCGGGCAGUUGUUGUUGCCAUCUUGUACCUGUCUCGUAGGUGUGAUGUUCAGAUGUACCGAUCAUGUGCAGGUGUUGUUACACGUGGUCUGCCACUGUGAGGACAAGCAGCUGUCCGUCCUGUCUCCUUGUAGCGCUGUCUUAGGCGUCUCACAAUACGGACAUUGCAAUUUAUUGCCCUGGCCACAUCUGCAGUCCUCAUGCCUCCUUGCAGCAUGCCUAAGGCACAUUCACGCAGAUGAGCAGGGACCCUCGGCAUCUUUAUUUUGGUGUUUUACAGAGUCAUUAGAAAGGCCUCUUUAGUGUCCUAAGUUUUCAUAACUGUGACCUUAAUUGCCUACCGUCUGUAAGCUGUUAGUGUCUUAACGACCGUUCCACAGGUGCAUGUUCAUUAAUUGUUUAUGGUUCAUUGAACAAGCAUGGGGAAACAGUGUUUAAACCCUUUACAAUGAAGAUCUGUGAAGUUAUUUGGAUUUUUACGAAUUAUCUUUGAAAGACAGGGUCCUGAUAAAGGGACGUUUCUUUAUUUGCUGAGUUUAUUUCUAUUUUUAAGCUGAAAUGAAGGUUAGAGUGUGUGCUGAAGGGUCAGCAGCAGCUGCCAAAAGC